UGGGCUUGCUUUAGGUGAUCUGGAUACUCA
rnacentral:piRNA from 1 species